rnacentral:lncRNA from 1 species
AGGUGAUUUGGGUGUUAAGCAAGAUUGCGUGAGACUGAUGUGUGAUAGUCAAAGUAAAAAGCAUUUGGAUAAGAAUCAAGUUUAUCAUGCUCGGACCAAGCAUAUUGAUGUAAGGUAUCAUUUUGUACGGGAUGUCGUAGAGGAAGGUCAUCUUUCUUUUACGAAGGUACAUACUGAUGAUAACCCGACUGACAUGUUAACCAAGGUUGUGUCAGGUAGCAAGUUCCAACACUGCUUGAACUUGCUAAACAUUAUUCCAUAUUCGUCCAAAAUUUGAAUGUUUCAAAUGAUGAACGAGGUGGAGAAUUUUGGGAAUAAGGGAAUAUUUAGCAAAGCUAAAUAUGAAAUAUUGAGUGUGGUAAAUGCAACAUACUCCAUUCAACAUAAUGAGUAAUAAUAGGAAGACAAAGUCUGAUAUUUGUAUGAAAUGUAGAUCACUCGCAUUAUAAUACAUAAGUUACUAUAUAAAUAUAAGCUUAUGUUUGUUGGAUAGAACAACAAGUAAUACGUAACAAAGUUAUUAGUUUUCCUUUAUAAUCAAUUCAAUCUUUCUUCUUUAGACAUUUAUAUCUCUUCAUACAAUUCAUUAUUUAUAUACUAUUUUCUUGUUCAACUUUAGUGAGGGUUGUAUUUCAUAAAUAAAUUAAUUUAUAGGUUUGACACCUAAGGCUUUUCAUGAGCAUGUUGGUCACAUGGGUCUUGGUUUUGAGAUUGUUUUAGUUAGUGGGAGUUUUUUUCCUUAAUUUUCUAUAUUUUAUACUUUGAUUUUGUUUUGGUACAAACUUUAUGUUAUGUUUAAUUUUUUGCAGAAAUAAAAACUUAUGAGGUACUAUUGUUAUAACAAUCUAUUUUUUUUAUUAUGGGCAAAUAUUGCGAUUUUGAAUUGCACCUAAGGAACGUCAGUUUGGUCUCACUAAAGACUUAAAUAGGACCAGUUGGAAAUAUGCAUGAUUUAGAUAUCAUAUUACAUGAAAUUUUCAUGUCACUCAUCCAUAUCGAUCUAUGUCACCAAAUACAUUGAUUUGGUGGUCGUCGGGAUUUCGUCACGUUACAUGUCAGUGACGACAGCCGCGAUGGUCCCACUAUUAAUAUAUGAUGUGGAUCAGAUUGUAAAGUUAAAAUCUAAGGAUAAAUAACAUUCGGAUGUGUGUCUAAAUGGUUAUGAUAUAAUUAUUAAGAUAUAUUGACCAAGUGGGAGAUUGCUGGAAUAUUUUAAUAAUUUAAUAUUAUAUUAAUAUUUUAAUAAUUAUGUGGUCAAAUAUAUUUAUUUAAUUAUAUUAGUUAUUUUAUCAAUUAAAUGCUUUAAGUAAUUAAGUGAUCAAAUAGAAUUAAAAGACUUAUCAGAUUUUAUUUUAAAUUUAUUUAUUUAAUUAAUUAUAUAUUGGAUAUGAGUUCAAAUAUUAGUCAAGGUUAGAAUGACCAAUUUGAAAAUAAUUAGUCCCCAAAAUUAUUUUAUCAACUCUUUAAUUUUAUACAUACUUUGAUUUCCGUGUCUAAAUUAUAUAUUAUAAUUUUUUGAACAUAUAUACCUAUCUAUUGUGCAUUAUUAAAAAUAUUGACUCUUAUUCUUGAGAAUUUUUCUUCCAUUAAAGUAUUUUCAUUCUUCAAAUAGAGUCGCGACUUAAAUAGGUGUUCAGUUAUUGACACAUAAUCAAUUUAGAAUCCUUGAAAAAUGAUGUUAUCAAGGUCAUCAUCUAAGUUGUGUUAGUUUUGAAAUUCCCCACGUCGCUUAACUUAGGUUUCUAAAGUUGUAAAAUUGCUUAACUUAGGUUUCUAAAGUUGUAAAAUUGAGGGGAAAAUGGUUUAUAAAAUAGUGACUAAAAAUUAAAAAAUAUUAAACUAAGAAAAUCAAAAUUCCAUUUAACUUAUAUGUUAUCAAAAAUAUUAAACAUCACAUAUUUUGAUUCUGCCUUCGCCUAGGGGUGAGUAGGUAGAUUAUAUAUAUAUAUAUAUAUAUAUAUAUAUAUAUAUAAUAUAUAUUAUAUAUAUAUAUAAUAUAUAUAUAUAUAUAUAUAUAUAUAUAUAUAUAUAUAUAUAUAUAAAAGCACAUGCAUUAGUAUGCAGACAUGUACUAGAAUAAGAGAAAAUACUAAAAUACCCUCUAACAAACUUAGGGGCUAAGGAAGAUAAUAUAAUUAAUAAAUAUGAAUUACUUCUAAUACCAUCCCUUAAUUCAUAUUCCAUCAAAACUUGUAACACCAAUUCCAUCCCUUAAUCUGAGGUGAAUAUCAGUCUUGAUAGCUUUCGUCAGAACAUCUGCCAACUGUUUCUGAGUGCUACAGUGUACAACUUCUAACACUCCCCUCUGCAACUUGAUGUCUCAGAAAAUGAUACUUGGUCUCAAUGUGCUUGCUUCUCCCAUGCAACACUGGGUUUCUGGCAAGAUUGAUUCAGACUUGUUGUCAAUCAUCAGCUUCAGAGGUUUGUUUACUUCAAUCUUUAGAUCCUGCAAUAAAUUCAGAAUCCACACAGCUUGGCAUGCCAGUAACAGCACCUGCAAUGUAUUCAGCUUCACAAGUUGACAACCCCCAACAGGUUGCUCUCUGGAACACAAGAAAUGGGACCUCCCAGAAAUUUGAAUAAGUACCCAGACGUACUUCUUCUGUCAACUCUGUCUCCACACCAAUCAGAAUCUGAAUACUCAGAAGUUCUGACUCAUCCUUUUUUCCAGAAGGAAAUAAUACUCCAUACUUCAGAGUUCCCUUGAUAUACCUCAGAAUCCUGACAGCAGCUUGGUAAUGGGACCACUUAGGUUUACUCAUGAACCUACUAACCAUCCCAACUGAAUAGCAAAUAUCAGGUCUGGUAUUGCAAAAAUACCUCAGAGAACCAACCAACUGUUUGAAGGUUGUACGUCCACAUCCUUUCCAUCAGAGUCAGAAUCCAGUUUCUGAUUUGUAUCAGAAGUGUGACAACAAUCUUAAAUUCUUCAGAUUAAUCUCUUCAGAAGUUCUAAUUCAUACUUGAGCUGAUGCAAAAUAAUACCUUUCUCAGAAUAUCUGAACUCCAUCCUAGAAAGUAUGUCAUUUUGCCGUAGAUCAGUCAUUUCGAAUUCAUUCAUCAGAACUUUCUUGAAUUUGGCUAUCUCCUGUUCAGAACUUCCAGUCAGCAGAUAUCAUCAACAUAUAAACAUACCAGAGUCAUAUUCCUUCAGAAGUAUGCUGAACAUAGACACCGUACUCCAUCUCACAUUUCUGAAAACCUUCCUUCUUGAAAAAUGAAUCAAUCUUCUGAUUCCAAGCUCUGGGCGCUUGUUUCAAUCCAUAUAGAGCUUUAGUAGAAUUUGUACACCAUCCCUUCCUGAUUCUUUUUCACAAAUCCAGGAGGUUGUGACACGUAAACUUCUUCUUCUAAUGGACCGUUCAGAAAUGCAUAUUUUACAUCUAAAUGCAUCGAGGCCAAUUCCUGUAGCAGCUAUUGCAAUCACCAUUCUGAUUGUUUCAUGUCUUGCUACAGGUGCAAACACUUCAGAGUAAUCCAGCCUAGGUUUCUGUAGAUAUCCUCUGGCUACCAACCUUGCUUUAUGUUUGCCAAUUGAACCAUCUGUGAUUUAACUUCUGUUUGAAAACCCAUCUGCACGCUGAUGGCUUUCUUGUCUUUUGGAAGUUCUGUGAGCUUCUCAAGUCUUGUUUCUCUCUAUAGCAUCAAGUUCUUCUUUCAUGGCCUUCAGCCAGAGCUUUCCGCUUUAGAGCUCUUCUGCAUACUUAUGGGUUCAGAGUCUACUAACAUGGCCAUACUGAAUAACUUCUCCUUCAGAGUCUACUUCAGUGUCUUGCAGCAUGUCAAGUUCUGCAUAAUCUUCUGGGGAAUGUUUUCUGAUUCUUUGUGUUCUCUGAACUUGUUCAGAGUCAUUGAGCUUCAGAGUUUCUACCUUCAGAUGCCGUUGACUUCCUCCAGAGCGAGUUACCUGACCAUCUUUCAGGACUCUGGCAUAUUUCCACCCCCCUGAGUCUGCAAUUGCCACUCAGAGUCUGAGUUACCAUCAGAGUCUGGACGUCAUCAGAGCGUCAUCAGAGCUCACCUUAUCUUCUGCAGUCUUUCUCCAGAGUCAGAAUCACUAUCAGAAUCAGAAUCAACAUCUUCAGAAAUUUCUUAACUCUGACCUUGCUUCAGAGGUUCUAACAUCAGAAUCAGAUUGAGACUUAUUAUCCAAUUCCAAACUUCUGAUUCCUUCACAAUCACAUCUCUGCUGAAUUCAAUUUUAUUGGUUUCUGCGACAAUAAGCUUGUAUGCACCUGUACUGUGGUACCCUAUCAGAAUCAUCACUUUGCUUCUAUCAUCCAGCUUCUUGUCUUCUGGCUUCUGGAACAUGUUUAUAGCAAAACAGAAGCCAAACACCUUCAGAUGACUAACACUUUGCUUAUCCCCAGUCCACUUCUGUAUUGAAACUAUUUCCUUCAACUUCUUCGCUAGGACAUCGGUAAGUACAUACGUAUGCGAAGUCAGGCUAGGCAACAGCUUCUCCCCAGAGCUUCUGUGAGGAUGGGAGCUUCUCUUCUCCUUUUUAGCAAUGCUUUCUCACCAGUAUCAAGGCUCAAAUGCUGCGGUUUCUUCUCACUCUUCACCCAUUAGACCAUUCGCCCUGUUUGAGGGCGCUUAUAAGGCCAUAGUAACCUCCAUGCUCUAAUUCCCAUUCUACCUCACAAGAAACUUCUGCCGAACUCUUUAUAGAGUUACUGCACCUCCACCGUCAAUUCUAGAAUCUUCAACUAUCUGCACCACUCUGAUUCUCAGCCUUCAUUCUGAACUUCUUGAAAUUCAUCAAACACCUCGUGAUUUAAACUUAAUAAGAUACCCAUGUCAUAUUCUGAUGCAAUUCAUCAACAAAAAUAAACAGAAAGUAUUAUUCCCAUCCAACGAUGCUUACUGGAAAUUGGACCACACACAUCAGAAUGUACAACCCAAGGCAUGUUUGCUCUUGGAGCAGUUUCUGACGCAUGGCAACGUUGGUUGUUUUCCUUCCAUGCAAACUUUGCAUAGACUAUUCAGGCUUCUUAAUUGCAGAAUUCCACUGCUACCAACUUCUUUGAAUUCAGAUGCUUGUUAAGCUUCUAAAUUCAAAUGACCAAAUACUUCCUGUGCCCACAGCUCACUCUCCUUUCUCAGCACUUGCUUGCACUAGACAUUCUGGUGCUGCAGUUCGACAGUUCUUGACUGGUUCUUUGGAAUGCUUCUAUUCCUUCCCUGUUCUGACUCCAUAAUCAACUCUCUGAUUGCAGUCAUACAGCUUUUCAGAAGAUUGUCCUUCAUGGUAACUGAAAACCUUUCUCAAUUAAUGUCCCACACCUCAUCAGAUUGCUUCUGAUGCCCAGGUACAUUACCACACGUUCUGAAUCAAUUGUUGUUUUCCCAUUAGUUCAGAAUCACUCUGACAUUCCCAUACCUUCUGCAUUAAGAUAUUUGUCAUCAGCACAUCAUUGAUCUUUGUCCUCUUUUCAGAGUCAAAGUCAACCAGCCCAUUUCUUGUUUCCAAUAAGAUGAUUUGAACACCCAGUGUCCAUAUUACACAGAUCUAUCAGAUCCAAAUCAUCAGAUUCAGAGGCCAUCAAUAGCACAGAUUCGUCAUCAGAACUUCUGGCUAUAUUUGCUUAUUCUAUUUCUCUCCUUGUUUGACCAACAGUCUCUAGCAAAGUGACCAAACUUCUUACACCAGUAACAUUGGAUCUUUUCCUUGUCAUACUUCUCUUUUCCCUUCUGAGCAUUCUUUUGUCUAUCAGAGGUUGAGCUUUCUGACUUCUGACCACCAUCAGAUCUUCUCCUGGCUUUGACUGCUUCUGAUACCUACCUAUCAGAAGUUAGCUUUCAGAGCCUGCUGCUCUACUUCCCUUCAGAAGUUCUUUCAGUCAAACGCAACUCUUGCGUUCUAGACUGCUCUGCAGCUCUUCAAUUCUCAUGGUGCUCAGAUCUUUGGAAUGUUCUAUUGCUACCACAAUGUAAUCAAAUUGAGAGGUAAGGAUCUCAAUACCUUCUCCAUGAUUGUUUCUUCAGACAGAGUUAUCUCCACACGCUUCAUCUAAUUAGUGAUCAGAAUCACUCUGGAGAUGUAUUCAGAACUUUCUCAUUAUUCUUCAUGUUGAGAUUCUCAUAUUGCUUUCUCAAGGACUGAAGCCUUCACCUUCUUCACUCAUGCGUUACACACCAUAACAUCUAACCAUGUGUCCCACGCAGCCUUUGCUGUCGUUGAAUCUGCAAUCUUCUCAAACACAUUUACAUCAACACAUGUUGAUGAAUGAGACACAAUGUUUUCUGAUCCUUCUUCCUUACUUCCUUCUGCGCCGUUUUUCUGUUCAUACCGUCGCAUCUGCUGCUACCGAACAUAACAUCCGACAGAAUCUAGAACAUCUUGAGCCACCGAACAGUACACGCCCCAUUUGGAUCAUCCAACGAUUCCAAUUUUUACCGUCACAAUACUGGAAGUUUGGUGUCAUUUGCCCCGUUUUCGUUCAUCUUCUACCUUGCACAGUACACUCAGAUUUCUCACACAGUGUUCCCAACCCACAGAAUUUAAAAUUCUGAUCAGAUUUGUUCAAGAUUCAACACGAAUCUAAGAAUCAAAAUCAAACACACAAGACCUCACGUUCACUCGUGUUUCCCGUGUUCCCAAUGAAUCCGAACGGAGCUCUAGAUACCAAUGUGUGUGGUGCAAAGGUAGAAUGAAAGAUGAAUAUUCUAUUCAGAGAAUGACGGCUACAAACAUGAUAAAAGUUACAAUGAUUGUCACCCUAUUUAUAAGCUAAAACUAGGGUUACUAGAAUAAGAAAAAAUACUAAAAUACCCUCUAACAAACUUAGGGGCUAAGAAAAUAAUAUAAUUAAUAAAUAUGAAUUACUUCUAAUAAUUUUAAACAUCUUAAAGUCCUUCACAUAUACUUGAAGGAAGUUUAGAAACAAACUUUAUUUAUUCUCCAUAUUUAUCAUGAAAAAAUUUAUCUAAUUAAAAGAUCAAUUUUAAAAGAGUAAUAAAAUCAAAAAAAUAUUGGUGAGUUCUUAUCUAUUCCCAACUCAAAAAGUUACGACAAACAAUUAUAUUAUUUAAUAAAUGAUUAAAUAUAUAAAAUUAAAUAAUAUCAUAUGAUAGAUUGAAGGGUAUACUAUUAAAUUUUUUAUGAUGAGUAAAGUUGAAGGGUAUACUAUUAAACAAUUAUGAACAAAGAUGGAAGACAAUAAAAACAAGAGGUAAAUUAAGAAAACGUACUAGAGAAUGGGAGGGUGAUCUGUACUGGUAAAAAAUGUAUACUCAUUUCAUACAAAGGUUACAAUGGGUCUGAAAUGAAAAAUAUUUCAUCCAACGAUGGAUAAUGGUCCCUGUUGUUCGUCCACAUCCUAUCAUAAAUAUAAAAGUUACCUUUGGUUGAUCUAAUAUCAGAAAGCUUCAUCAUCAGUUAGAAACUCAGUGAUGCCAUGGAUGCACCCCUAAGGCAUAUCCCAAAGUCACUAGCCUCUUAGCAAACCAUUGUAAGCAGAAAAAUUCAUUAUCAAUAGUAUGAAAUUAUAUAACAUCAACACUUAAUUAUUGAAGACAUGAUUUGAAAAUAAGAGUUUCUGUUUUUGUUUCCUUAAAUCGGAAUUUUGAAAAGAUGAGUGAUUGGAUAUUUCUCAGUAUCUUACGCUCCCGUUUAAUCCUCUCAAAAGGAUAAGUUAUGAAACCGUCAGCUUUAUUUUUGAUUCAAUAAUUACAUAGUGGACCUAACCACAUAAUAAAUAACUUUAGUUCCUACCUAUUAUCGCAAGGGUUAAGACUUACACUUUUGCUACACCAAACAGAUUUUAGACACUGAUAAUUUAAUUUAAAAAAUCACUUAGCCAAUAAAGGAGUCUACUUAUGUAUCCACAUCUGAAUCAUGAUUAACCUAUUUUCACAAACCAAAAUAACAAUUGAUUGUAGCCCAUAAAAUAUUAGAUAAAUCUAUCAUUCUCCCACUUGGGCAAAAUCAAUUGUGCGAUUUUAAUAUUAUAAAAACAUAUAUUUGAAAACAACUCUCGGAUUAAUGACUAAUUUCUUAAAAUGUGACCGCAUUUUAAGAAAAUGCAUUAUUUCAGGUGCAGUAUCUGAAUAUGACUCCGUCCAACAAAAGUCAAGCAGUAUCGAAUCAUGGCGAUUAUUAUAUCCUUCAUUGACAUAUAGCCUUCCAUGGUUACAAAUACUACGAACUCCGUCAACUAGUCAUCAAUGUGGAGUGUGGCAAAAAUAUAGUAUGCAAAUAUGAUCCAACAGCCAAGCUGUUAUUUUCUUUGUCAGUCCUUAACAAUUUCUCUCAAAUUCCUUAAAGCCAAAGAAAACGCAUGGUUUUACAAACCACAAUGCAUCAGCUUCAAUAUGGCAUCAACCACUGGUAUAAUGGUCAUGAUGAUGCCGAGCCCAAAAUUAUAAUCAUGCCAUGAACCCCAAAAUUGUGGUCCUAAUGAAACUGAGUCCCAAUUGACAUAUAAAUAAACAAUAAAAAAUAAUUAUAAUACCCAUUGCAUUAUCAAUUGCUCAAAAUAGAAAAAUACUUGACAUUAUAAACACUUAAAGUGUCCAAAAUAAAAUUCAACAUGAUAAAGAAAAUGUCAUAAAGAAUAAACUCCCACUAACCAAGUACAUCAAAAUAACUCACAAUAUCCUUGUUCUCGGCAUGAUUUUUUAACAUAAUGGGUCUAAGUCCCUAGGUUAGAGAAUCAACAAACAUGAAAUCAGUACUAAUAUACUCAACAAUAAUGAUAUUUUUCUUUACAAGAUCUCUAACUGUUAAAUACUUCAAUUUCAAAUGCUUAGAACCGCAUAAGUUUUAUUAUUCUUAGAGUAAAACAGAGAUGCAUUGUUAUCACAAUAAAGAUUUAGUGGCCUAGCAAUGAAAUUACCAAUACGAAAUCCAAUUACUAAAUUUCUCAACCAAACAGCAUGAGUGGCAACAACAUAACAAGCAAUAAACUUUGUCUGCAUAGUAGAAGAGGCGACAAGAGUUUUCUUUUUACUCUUCUAGGAUAUCGCAUCUCCAGCCAAUAUAAAAAUAUAACCAAAAGUAGAUUUCCUACCAUCAACACUCCCAAAAUGAUCAGAGUCAGCAUACCCAACUAUUUCCAAGUUGUCAACUCUCCUAAAAACAAGCAUAUACUCUUUAGUUCUCUGCAAAUAUCUCAUAACUUUCUUACUAGCAAUCCAAUGAUCAUUCCCAAGAUUGGACUAGUAUCAUCCCAAGAUGUCAACUAUGAAGGUAAUGUCAAGCCUAAUGCAUACUUGAGCAUACAUCAAGUUGCCCAAUGCAUUGUCAAAGAGUUUUCCCUUCAUUUCUGCCCGCUCAGUCUCAUUUUUAGGACAUUGAUUUUUACUGAACUUGUCACCUUUAGUAACUGGAACAUCCCCUAGCUUACAAUACUGCAUAUUGAACCUCUCUAAGACUCUACCGAUAUAAGCCUUCUAGAACAAGCCAAUUAAACCACAUGAUUUGUCUUUGUGUAUUUCAAUUUCCAACACAAAGGAUGUCUCGUCGAGAUCUUUCAUAUUAAAGAAUAUGGAUAGCAUAAGUUUGGUUUCAUGAAGUAGACCAGGAUCAAUACUGAUAAGUAAAACAUCAUCAACAUAUAACAAAAGAAAGAUGAAUUCUCCCACUGACCUUAAGAUAUAUGCACUAAUCAACUUUAUUUUCUUCAAAAUCCAAGGAAGUUACCACCUUAUCAAAUUUUAAGUACCAUUGUCUGGAAGUCUGUUUCAAACCAUAAAUAUAUUUUCUCAAUUUACAAACCAAAUGCUCAUUACCACUUGUCACAAAACCCCCAGAUUGUUGCAUGUACACCUCCUCAUUUAUAUCACUAUUCAGAAAAGCAGUCUUAACAUCCAUUUGAUGCAACUCCAACUCAAAAUGUGCUAUAAUAGCCAUAAUGAUUCUAAAAAAGUGUUUAGUGGAAACAGGAGAAAAUGUUUCAUUAAAAUCAAUCUCGUCCUUUUGUUUGAAUCCCUUGGCCACAAGUAUUGCCUUAAACCUCUCAAAUUUACCUUUUGAGUCCUUCUUUGUUUUGAAUAUUCACUUGUAGCCAACUUCCUUAUAGUUUUCUAGUAACUCCACUGGUUUCUAGACAUCAUUAUUUACCAUGGAUUUUAUUUCAUCAUGCAUUGCAUAUGUCCACAUGCUAUAUUGAGAACAAGUAAUAACUUCUAGAUAAUUUUUAGGAUCAAUAAUAACACUAACAUCAUAAGCACCCUCACUAAGAUAAACUAUAAAAUCAAUAGUGAUAGCAGGUCGCUUUUGUCUUACUGGCCUUCUAACAUGAGUUUGCUCAACUAGCUCAGCAGGUUGUGCAACCUCAGCCACAACAGGAGUAUCAACUACAUUCUUAACAAGUGGUUCAACCAUAUUUUCAACUGGAUGUUCAGCCACAUUCUCAUUUGGAGCAAAACCUCCACAAGUAGUGGAUGAGCUAGCAUAAUCAAAAUUAGGAAGUGGUAGAGUAACAAAGUCAGGAACAACAAAAUCAAUUAUAUCCUUAAGAGUGUGAUUUCUCCUUUCGGCUACACCGUUUUGCUUAAGAGUACCAGGCAUGGUGUAUUAUCUAACAAUUCCAUAAUCCUGCGGGUAUUUUGCAAAAUGCCACAUAUGUUGCCCAGUAGAAUCAUAUCUACCCUAAUACUCUCCAUCACAGUCAGAACGCACAACCUUUAUCACCUUUCCUAGUUGCUUUUCAACCUCAGUUUUAAAGAUUUUAAACUUUUCAAGUGCUUCUAAGUUUUCCAUAAUCAAGUAAAGAUAUUCAAACCGGUAAAAAUCAUCAAUGAAAAUGAUAAAAUAUUUUUUGCCACAAACAGUAGGAGAAAGGGGUCCGUUAAUAUUUGUAUGAAUAAUUUCCAAAAGGUCUGAACUUCUAGUUGAAAUUUUCUUAUUGGUCUCAGUAAAUUUUCCUCUAAUACAAUCCACACAAGUCUCCAAAUCAUUUAAAUAUAAGGAAGAUAAAAUAUCAUAUCUAAAUAACCUUUCAACUUUUCCUUAGAGAUAUAGCCUAAACGUUUGUGCCACGACAAGGAGGAUUAUUCUCUAAUUCGAGACCUUCUAGCAAUAGAGCUCUCAACAUUCAAGGAUGAGGAAGUUUUAUCACAAUCCAAAGAGUACUUAUAUAAACCAUCCAAUAAGAUACCAUUACUAACAACUUGAGAAUUCAACAUUAAUUUUUUUCCAUCAUAAAAGGUAAACUGAAAUCAAAGUUUAUCCAAACAAGAUACAUAAAUCAAAUUCCUCCUAAAAGAAGGUACAUAAAAUGUAUCUUUCAAAACCAAUUCCUAGAACUAAGCUGACAUCUCCCACUAGCUCCACAAUGACUUCAAGAUCAUUUCCUACCCUGGGCUUGCUUUCCCUCAAAUUUGGUCUCUGUUGGUUUCUGAACCCCUUCAGCUUUAUUCUUAUUGUCUAAACAAGCUUUAAAAGCAUGAAAAUCAGGUUUCUUAUGCCCCUUUUCCUUACACCAAAAGGAUUUCUUAAAAGCAAAUGGCUUAUGACCUCAUAUGUUGUGGUGUUAGCCGUUAUCUAGUUUCCUAAACUCAAGAUGUCUAUGAGAAACACUGUGGGUAUUUUUCUUAUUUUUCCAAGAAUUCUUACCAGAAUGGGGUUUAGCAUGAACAGUUAAAAGGGCUUAAUCAUUUCUUUCCUUCUUGAAUUUCUCUUUUUCAUCUACAUACUUGGUAAUAAGGUUAUUGGCGGUCCACUUAUCAUCCAAGGUAUUAUAGGAAGUUUUAAUUUAAGAGAACUCAGUAAGUAGGCAGUUUAAGGCAUAUGACACAAUGAAAUUCUCACUCAUGUUAAUGUUAUGGGUUUUCAGUUAGGUUUGGACAUGAACCACCCUAAGAAUGAACUUCCUGACACCCUCAUUGUUAUCAUAUUUCAUGGAUAUGAGUUGUUUCAUUAAAUAUAUAGAUUCAGCAUUAUUAGAUACAUGAUACCUCUCCCUAAUAGCAGUGGGAUAUUCUUUAGCUUUCUCUUUCUCAGGAAAUAUGUUGAUUAGAUGUUCAUAAAUGGUUCACUUAAUAGCACACAAGUUAAGUCGAUUUCCUCUCCUACUUGGCUAAUUUUUCUUUCUCUUCAGGUGUACUGUAAGCAUUGAUCAUAGGAAUAGUUUCAUGCAAUUCCAUGUCAAGGUCAGUAAUACCUAAUGAAAACUUUGUCUUUCUUCCAUUUCUUAAAAUUAGACCUAUUUAGGAUCUCAAUAGAAACAGAAUAGUUGUUCAUAUAGAAGGUCAUUGUUGAGACUGUAAGAAUAAGUUUGGUUAUGCAUCUACAUGCAUUUAAGUUUUGAUCAUAACAAAGAGUAGAAGAAGAAUUUUAUACACUAACUGUUUGGUUAAGUGCGCAGAAACUCAAAGUCUAAAACAGAAUCUAAAUGAAAAGAGCAAAUGUCGAGUGAAGCAGAUUCUGAUCAAGAAGACUGUGAGAAAGCAAAUCUUAUCAAUGCAAAAUCAAGCAAUUAUAAAACUAUGAAGAGCAAACCAAGAUUCAAUACAAAGAAGAAAUUAAUUUGAACAAAGCUCAAACAAAAAUAUAAUAAUAGAUUCUGAAGUAAAGCAGACUCUGAUCAAAGACGCUUGUAAAGCUAAAUUUGAAAAAACUGAAGUCUAAUGGAAAGCAAACAUCAAAUUAAAGCAAAGUCUAAGGCAAUGUCUGAAUGUCAUCAAAUUAUAAAAGUUAUGCUCUUAAGAAAGUUAUACCAUUGAAGAAAGAAGAACAAGGAAGAUUGUGUGUCAAACAAGACUCUCAUCAAAGUUGCUUAUUAAACAAAACUCCAAACAAUGCAGAAUCUAACGUGAACUCUGAAUAAUGUAGCAUCUAGACUCUGAUGUCUACAUCUUCAAAGGAUUUGAACUCAAACCAAGCUUUAAAUCUCUUUUCAAAUAUGAAGCCAAUGAACUAGACAAAUAUAAUAGAAGGAAUAUUCAUAAAAGUAAUACAUUGAAAGCAGCAAAAUCAAUUAUUUAUUGGAACAAAUUCCUGAUAUUCGAAAAAGAAUUAUUUUAUGAAGGAAAAUUGCGAUCCAAAACGCAGCAGAAAUUAUUUUUUUUUCCUUUAGUGAUCCUUACAAAUGAGCAUGAUCAGUGAUAUAAACGGUUACCUCUUGUGGCGAUUGAAACCUUUGAUGCAGGUCUAAGGAGUGAUCACGAGCGUUGAAUGGUGACAACGCCUCUACUCAGUCUACACAAACGAAUUCCUUCAGUCUCAGUGUUAGCUGCUACAAUUGAAGACUUUGAGUGAGUGAGUGAGUGAGAGAGAGAGAGAGAGAGAGAAAGAGAGAGAGAGAGAAAUGAAAUUUCAUCUAGUGAAAUGCUUCUGCACAAGGGUUUUAUUUAUAGAACCACUUGUGUAGGCUGCAAGCUAAAAAGUCCACUUAAGUGUAUGUGGCCCAUAUCUUAUGGUAUACCGAAAAUCACUUAAGUGUGUGGUACCUUACCACAUUUCUUAUUCUACUUAAGUGCAUUGUACCUUACGAUGUUCUACAAUUCACUUAAGUGCAUCGUACCUUACGGUGCUCCUUAUUUACUCUAUCUCUCUCAAUCCUUCCUUUUGUGUGUGACCUUGUAGGUUUUCAUGACAUUGGCAAUUAUAUUAAAUCAUGUAUUUAACAUAAUAAAUAGUUAGCGGUAUCUAGCAACACAUCACUAUUACCCAAAACACGAAAAUGUCAUGUGAUCUGACAAAUCCUUUUGUGAUAAUACAUGUGUGUACAAUUACCCUUUUGCCCUUAUGUCUAUAUUGAACACAAGGCAUAGAACGUGUCAUCCUUAUACAAUUCAAUAUUGGGCCCUUAUACAUUUAUCAUGUUACGCAGGAUGGGAAAAUUCCAUCUAGGUCCCUCAUGUCCCUCAGCAUGCUUCGUGGAGUACCUAUCAAUUGUCUUUAUGGUCAUCCAGUUACGGACAAUAUUUGAUCAGCAAUAAAGCACUCGACUUUACAUUUAAGGUCCAUAGUGGUUUCGGGUCGAAGGGUGGUAUACACCAUUAUCACCAUGAGAAUAACUUAUGACACUUUGCAUAAUAUUUUAUGUAGUAUUCUCAUAGCGGGUUAAUCCAGUAUAAAUAUUACUCUUAAUAUUCAUACCUAUGUUUAAGACUUGAUAACUCAUUAUCCAUGAUCCAUGAGAUGUGAUUAUCAGUCUAUAUACAUAAUAGUCUUAAUGCUUUAAUAUUAUCCCACUUCUCAAUAAAGCUCGACUACGGAUACUUUAAGAAUAGCGUCCUUAUGUUUAAUGGGAUCUCAUGAUCAAGUCACACUUGAUACAUUAAACAGACUAGCUAUUCUAGGAACUUUAUUAAACAAACAUAAUAAAGAAAAAGCUUUUUAUAAAUAAUUCGAUACAAGUACCAAAAGUAUUGGCCUCUAUGGCUUGUACCAACAUUAUAUUCUUUUGUCUUGUCUCACGUCACAUCAUCUCACGCAUGUUAUUGUUGUAACAAUGGGUGUCUUGAUACAACUGUGAUUGUGACCAUAUUUCUACUUCACUACCAACGAAUCUAUUCUUCACCCUCAACGGUAACAUUCUCUAUCUAUUUAAAGAUGACUUGAAAGAUUGAAAAAUCAUGAGAUAGUUGUAAAGAAAGAGUAUGACACUAAGGGCGGAAGAACACUAGAGAUAAGUGAGAGAAAAGAAAGUGUUCUCAAACAAUAAAAAGGCACUUAGAGUGAUUUCAACCAUGGGUAGACAUAAGAUGUGUUCUCAAUCCAUAAACACAAUUGAGAAACAUAUUACACUUAUCUGGAGCUGCAAAAUAUAGAGACACAAGAAGUAAUCUCAAACAUCAAAAGAUCAAUUGUAAAAGCACAACAAGAAGAACAUUUGUGCAAAAGCAAGAGAUAAGAUAAGCAAGCACUUAGAGGUAAACAUUUUACAUCUCGCUUAAGUGUAAAUUAUGAUUGUUAAUUUUUGUAAUCUGGUUAAUAAAGAAGCACACUUGCAAACACAAAUUUGUUAUAACCAUGUUUGGUUAUAUUUUUCAAGAGACCAUGUUGGUCAGAUUCUUAAAAGGGCAAUGACAGUAUGUCAUUGAAGUUGUACUCCUCAAGUGACUAGUUGGUUAGGUUCUUCAUAGGACUUUGACAGAUUGUCAAAGAGCAAUAACUCCUUAAAGGACCGGGUAGGUCUGAACUCUUAAAGAGUCAAUGACCUUCAUACUUUUUAGGGAAUUGGGUUGGUCAUAAUUCUUAAGAAAUCACUGACAGGUUGUCCUUGUUUUAUAAUCAGAUUGAUUAUUGGAUUAAGUCAUUUUUUAAGACAAAAUCACUCAAGUGAGUGGACUAGAGGUAGCCUAAUUAAUGGUGAAUCAGGAUAAAAAUAUUUGUCUCUUUUAUCAUUGUCCUUAUAAUUGUUGUUGUUACUCUUAUAUUUGUUUUUGGUUACAAAAUUAUGUCUUAUUUGAACCCAAUUCAAUCCCCCUUCUUGUGUUUCUUGCAACUUCAAUUGGUAUCAGAGUCUGAUUCUGGUAUUGACUAGAUUGUGUCAAACACUUAAUCGUGUAAGAAAAAGAUCCAUUUUUCGAAACACAUUAAGACAACACAAGCAACAAUGAUAAAAGAUCGUUAAUCAUCCAGAUUCACACAUUACUCAAAUGUUGAUGAUGUAAUUUGAAACGAGAUGAAUGAACAGCUUUGGAAGAGCAUGCUAGUUCUCUGAGUAGUCAUGAGAUCAAGCUUGAAGAAGACUCUGGUAAUGAGGAUGAAUUGUGAUUAUCAUCCAGAAGCAUCAACCGGUUGUAGAAGCAUAGUCAAAUCAACUUCGGAGGCUAAAGAAGAACAGGUGGACUUUGUGAAGUCAACCUCUGAGUAUAAGAUGUUUGAAACUGACAAGAAGGUCAUCUAUCUUACGUACAAGGAGCCAUGACACUACAAAUAGAGUGUCUCAAAUUCAACAAAGAAAAGCAUAGAAGGAAUUCAUCAAAGAUAAGAGAAAAAGUUUUGAUGAAUACAUAGAACAACUCUAAAGAAGAUUUUGAAUAAAGAACAAGUCAACAUGAAGCUCAUGACAAGCACAAAAGCAUCUGACUUCUCAGAAGAAGAAUCUAAAAGAAACACAAGAGCACUUAGCACCCAUAGACAGCAACUGAAGCCUUAGAAUGAGAAUCAGACUCAGAUGCCGAAAAUGUACUCUCAAUUAAUUUUCUUCAUUUAAAAUUCUUGAAAAGAAUUAGAAACUUCAAAAAAGCCUCUUAAAACUUAUAGAUAGAUUGAUAGCUUUUCUAAAGCCUAUAGUGAACUAAUAAAAUAAAACUCUAGUUUAAUAAGAUCAAAAUUAUUUCCGCUCUCAGAAGCUAAAAUGAUAAUCAAGAGAAAGAAAUUCUUUUAGGAGCUCUUAUAGACUCAAAUGAUAAUCUAAGAGAAAGAAAUUCUUUUAGGAGCUCUUAUAGACUCUAACUUAGCUAAGAAUUUAAAUAUAAACAAAUUGAUCUUUUAAAAACUAAUUAAAAUUAGUGACCGGAUCUUCCUCUAUAUCUAGAACUCUCUUUCAUAACUCUCAAUAGGACAAGUUAUGAAGUCGUCAAUUCUACUUCUGAUUCAAUAGUUACAUAGGAAAGGUUAGGACCAACACUUGUACUCACACCAAUAAAAGACCCUACUUAUACACCCCAUUAAAAUCAUGAUUAACUCAUUUUCACAAAUUAAAAAUAACAAUUAAUCACAGCCCACAAAAUUCAAACCCUUCAAAGAGACAACAAUAUUGCGAGUCUAAUCAUAAAUGUGAUUGGAAUCAAAGAACCAUUAUCCCCCUACAUUAGUGUUCAGUGACAACUGUCCUAAUGGUUGGAGUCCAAGUAAGCGCAAGUAACCUAUAUGGUUUUAAAUCCGGCACCCAAAAUUCUUACUUAAUCAUCAGACGGUCUGAGUACAGAACCCUCAAGUGGAGCACCAACCAGUUCUCUCCCCAUCGCAACCUAACCAAAUCUCAAGCAGCUCACCUAAGACCGAAUAAGGGUAAUAAACAAUUAGUUGAUUGAAAAACACAAUAACUACUACUAUAGAAAUAGAACUAACAACACAUUAGAAAUGAAAAACUUUUCCCCGAUGUAUAACGAAAUACUAUAGCUAUUGAGGAUUAAAGUGAUUUUAAUUUAAACUUUUAGCCAGCUUGAACAACAGUGUGCCACUGAAAAUGUCAAUAAAAAUAGAAAUAAACUACAUUGUAAUUGUGUCUAAAUAAUAAAAACAGAUGCAGGACAGCAUACAACAUAUUGAACAAUGGAUACAAUAUAAUCCCAAAACUCGGAAGCCAUUCAAAUUCCCUUUACUUCCUUACAAUUGAAAGAAUAUCUUUCAUUAAAUAUUCAUUGUCAAAAUAUUCAAAUUGAUGACAAGCUAACUAAUCCAUCCCUAGUAGGCAGGCAAUAGAUCAUUUGCAUUUAUGCCUCCAAAUCGUCCCAAAACUUCAUCAAUUAGGCACUGCAGUAAACAAAAAAGAUGUUGGUUAGAUUUAUGACCAAGAUUCACACUUACGAAAAUAUUAAUGAAUGCUUCAGCUUCAUGUCUAAAAGUGUAAAGUAUUAUAUGCUAACAUCAUACUUGCAGUUCUAAUGAACUUUAUUAUAUGUCAAACAUCACACUUAGGAAAAAUACUAAUCAACUCAAUUUUUUCUGCUUCUGUUUCAUGUCAAAAAGUAUUAUACGCUAAAAUCAUACUUGCAGUUCUAAUCAAUUAUUAUACUCUAACAUCAUACUUCCAGUUCUGAUAAACUUUGUGCGUCCACUGUAACAAUUUAGGUCAUUAAGUACUAAGCAAAGUAAAAAUCAUCUUACUGUAUGUGGAGGUGUCAAUUUGUUCAGGAAGCUCUUUUAUAUCAACCUCGAACCUAGAUUGCACCUGAAGUCAUCAUAGUUUAGAUAUUUGUUAAUCAAAGCAUUGUUGGUCAAAAGGGCCCCUUUCCUCUCCACUUUCUCAAUUGGAGUGAAAACAUUAAACCUUAAAUCACCAUGAAAGUCGACUUCACUAACCUGAUUAAGAACUUCAGAGUCACCAGCAGAAGACACAAAGGUAAUUGCAAGCCCCUUGGUGCCAAAUCUACCAGCUCUUCCAACCUAGCAAUUCACAUGUUGAUAAAGCAUAUAAAGAUAGAAGGAACAAAGAUCAUCUAUAAGCCAUAAACCCAAAACAAUGUUCAAAGUUACAUUAAAUCUUAAAAAAUUCAUUUGAUCAAACCACUUACCCUGUGAAGAUAGGUGUCAGCAGAAUCAGGCAUGUCAUAGUUGAUGACUAUAUUAACACGUUCUAUAUCAAUCCCCCUUCCUACUAAAUCUGUUGCCACAAGAAUCCUUUGCUUCCCCUCUUUGAAGCCCUUGUAACGCUUCAAUCUGAAACAGAGACAUGUUAGCUAGUUAUGGAAAACAUUAAGACUGCAAUUACUGCAGCUUCAAAAGAGUUUACAGAAUUUUAUUUCGUUUCAAAGACACAUCAAACGUAAAUUCUCUUAAUUUUUCACCAAAUGCAAUAAAAAUUAAUUAACAAAAGAGAUUUGUCCUAAUAAUAAAUAAAAUGUAAGCUAGUUGUACAAAUAAGAUGAAAUAAAUCUAUGCUAAUUUAAGAAAUAACAGAAGAUCAUUAACAAAACAAGCCCAACCAAACCAACCAAAAACACUUAGAGGAAGUAUAUAUGUAGAUUCACCGAGAAAUAAAAUGGAUUGUGGCAUCUGGUUAUUUAGCACAAAUUAUGGCUUAAGAUAGAUUAAGUAACCAGUGGUAAGGAUUGCAUCUCUUCAAAAAAAUUUAAGGCCACAUUAGCUUGAAGUAACAAAGAACAAGUUGUAUCGCGAAGACGGCAAUCCUAUCUUGAUACAUUACAGUUCUGUUGUGGAGUGAGUAGACCACUAGAUUGAUUAAUCAUACCUUUGGAAUCCAAAUUUUGGAUGACAUAAAAGACUUGAAUUUGGGAGAAUAAUAUCCCUACCAUUAUAAAUCCUUAAAAUGUGAACUGAGCAACCAAAUUGGGUAGAAGUCUAAAUAAGAAUUCAGUAAUAUUUCAAACUAUUCAGACCAAUUGAAUUUAAAAGAUAAAGAAUAGCCCAAAAUUAGAAGCCCAAACACCUGACUGAACAACCUGAAAUGGAAACUUACACAAAAUUUUCUGUAUUAUUUUGAAAAGAACAGGGAUAAGAACAGAAUCCAAAUUUUACAAAGGAAGAGGAACUUGAAAACUGUCAGCAGUUUAAACUUCUGAACCAUCUGUAAGGGUAAUGAAAUAAGGAAUUUUUGUCGGAGAUAAGUUUGAGAAAAGGAAAGCAUUACCAACAAUACUAUCUGAAGCCCUAUCAACACAUUAACUAAUGACAUUUUGUGACUUUCACUGAUCCAUAUCAGAUAAAAGCCAGAAAAAUUCUGAUGGUGACCACAAAAAAAUCACUGAAAAACUGAUUGACGGUCAUGAAUACUACAAAGACUGGAUAUGGAUGGAUUGACCAGAAAACAUACAAAACAGCCGCCAACAGUUGUACAGACAGUGGCCAGAGCUAUCCGGCGGUGGCUGAUACUAUACAACAGCAGCCAGAUAAGACUGGAAACUAAAAGUUAUUGCAACACAGCACAAAAGAGGAAAAUGGAGAGCAAGAUCUAGCUUGCUCUCAUACCAACUUCAGAACUUGAUAAUAAACUAUUAAGAGAUUUCUGAGUGCUGUAAUGAGUAACACACUCAGCAAGAGCUAAUAUUUAUAUUGUACACAGCAAGUAUAAUUAACAUUUAACAAGAGGAAUUAUAACUAGCAUUAAGUUUUAAAGUUCAAAGAAUCUAAGAAUGCAAUCCAGACGGUGGCUAAUACUAUCCGACAGUGGCCAGAUAAGACUGGAAACUACAAUUUAUUGCGACACAGAACAAAAGAGGAGAGCAAGACCGAAUUUGAUAAUAAGUAUAAUAAAGAUUUCUGAAUAGUUUAACGAGUAACACACUCAGCAAGAGCAAAUAUUUAUAUAGUACAUGAUAAAUACAAUUAACAAGAAGAGGAAUUAUAACUAACACUAACUUUUAAAGUUCAAAGAAUCUAAAAAUGGAAUGAAGCCUAUGAUAUUAUGAAUUCUAAUUGAAAUUGGAAAGUGGAACAUUGAUUAUACUCUAUUUUCGGUACGGAUAAGAUUUCAAUCUAGAGUCCUAGAAUAGUAGUUUUCUUAAGGGAUUGCUGCAAGUGCAAGACACCAAUAUAAAAAACAAUAUUUUGGUGCACCAGCUUUCAAAACUACCCAAGAGAUUACCUAGCAUCAUAGGAACCAAGGGAAUAUUUGGUUUUAACCCCAUAUUUACCAAUGCAAAAAAACAUACUCAAGAAUGAAAAGGAAGAGAAAAGAAACACUGGAAGAACAUAACAAACUGUCUUACAAACAUUCUAAAAAAUUGUGAUUAGUAACAGGAAUAUGCUUUAAUUGACUGACAAACAUGCAAAACAUCUUAAUGUCUCAAUGUUAGCAAAUCCUAAAUCAGCUUAAAGAAUUAAGAUUACACAAGACUAAGUAUAUACCAUCAAUUUCAAAAGACCUAAUAAAUACCUUUCUUCCUGUGACAUUCCAGAAUGUAUGCAUAUUGAUGGGAAGUUGCACUCAACAAGCAACUUGUUCAAUUCUGCCGCUCUGCUAACACUUUUGACAAAAAUGACAACUUGGUUGAAGUCAAGAGCAUCAAGAAGGUCAUUCAGCUUACGAUUUUUCUCUGGCUCUUGUAAUUUGAUGUAGUGCUGAAAAAGGUGACAAAUGAGUAAAAUUAGUAGACGAGAAGAUAUCAACAAGAACACGGAAUAAACAAAGUCCACAAACACACCUGAACAAGACCAUGAAGAGUCAAUUUGGCCUCGUCAUCUACAUAUAUUUCCAUGGGCUGGAAGAAAAAAAUUUAUGAAUGAGAAGAUAAACAAUGAUAUAAAAAAUUGGUUAUUUUGAUCUAUAAAACAGAAUACUUGCAAAUUAAUACUAAAUAGGAUAAAUAGUCAAAACAAAACAGAAAUCUGACCAUAAAAUAAACAAAAUGAUUUAAAACAAAAGAAUUGAUGACAUUCAACUAAAAGCGCAAUAAUUUGAAAUGAAAAUAAUAACAAUGUGAACAAUAAGAGGAACAAUGAAACUGCCCUCCCAUAUACAGUCUAAAAAUCACCACAUAAAUAGAAUAUUACAUCUUGCAUAAACUUCUUGCAAACAGGUCGAAUCUCUUUGCUGAGUGUAGCUGAAAACAUCAUCACUUGUUUAUCAUGAGGAGUCAAUUUGAAAAUCUCUUGCACGUCUCUUCUCAUGUCUGCAAAGGUCAAAUGGCAGAUAUAUUAAGAAACAAAAAAAAAAGCAGAAUUAGAUUAGAAAUGCAUUUGCAAAUUCAGCAUGACAGUCAAAUUAAAGGGAAAAGGAGGAAGAAAUAGACCUAGUGAUUCCAGCAUCUUGUCACACUCAUCAAGUAUAAAAUGCCUCACAUUCUUCAAACCAAGGUCCUUAUCUCUAGUCAGGGCAAGAAUCCUCCCAGGUGUUCCAACAACAAUGUGGGGACACUCGUUCUUGAGCAAUUCUUUGUGAACCUUGAUGUUGACACCACCAUAGAAAACAGCAACUUUUAUAUCUGAAAGAUAUGUGCUGAACCUCUCCACUUCGUGGCAAAUCUAGACAAAUCCAAAAACACAAAUAAAGCACUUUCUAAGUAUGGACAUGUGCACAUAUAUGUUUGUGAUAAUGUGUGUUGGAAACACCAGUAGUUCUCUAGCAAAACGUUCUAGAUAUAUUACAUCCAAACUAAUGAAGACAUACCUGAUAAGCUAGUUCUCUUGUGUGGCAAAGAACAAGUGCUGCAACUUGACCAGGAACAGGAUCAAUUUGCUGAAGUGUUGACAGAACAAAAACAGCAGUCUUUCCCAUGCCAGAUUUUGCUUGGCAGAUGACAUCCAUUCCCAAAAUUGCUUGAGGGAUGCAUUCGUGUUGCACUAAUGAAGAAGCAAAGAAAAUUGUAGUGGACGAAUCCUCAGUAAGUAUAUAUGAUCUGCCAGAUCCUUUUAAUGUAAAGGUUUACCAACCAAUUUUUGAGAUGUAUUCAUAAUAUGCUAGUAGUGAUUACCUGAUUAAUUCAAAGGAAAAAGAUUAGAGGAUAGUGAACAAUAAUAAUGAAACAAAAACAAGAUACAUGAGAACUAACAGGUGAAAAUGUGAAAUUCAUAUUCACUGGAAUGGAAUAGCAAUAAGUUAUAGGAAUUGAGAUAAAAGGACUAUAUCAUACAAUGAUCAAUAAGUCACCCCCAAAAAGAAAAAGAGACAGCCUAAAGAAAUCACUGAAAAUCUUGUUCAAAGAAAUUGACUAUUAGAGACGAAAGAAUAGGGACCUAGGGAACUAAAGAUUGUAUUUGAAUUUAUACACAGAUGAGAGUGAGGAAGAGAGUUAGUGAAUUGUGGGUUGACCAAUUGAAAAAGUUAAGAAAGGGAAUUCCCUUGGCAGAGUUAAUAGACUGUGUUAUGUAGUUCUUUUCUGUUCUUGUGUCAGAUGUUCGUUUAACCACAUUGAUUAGAAAGAUUCAAUCAUGACAUUGUGUAAAAUAUAUCGAGAAUGGUUAACAGAAAGUAGAAAAUACUGCCAUCAAUAUAAAAAAAUGAUAUUUAAUAAAAGCCCAAAACAUGAGAAGUCCUUAGAAUUUGUUUGACUCUUUGCCUAUACUGAGCAAUGUAAUGACAUCAUAUAGUAAAACUUGCCUUCUGAAGGAUGCUCAAAUCCCGAAUCUACUAUGGCUCGAAGAAGCUCUGGUUUCAACAGGAAGUCUCGAAAUCCCGAACUAUGGAUCCCAACGUAACCCCUGCACCACAAAAGAAAAUGAAUACAGUGAGGAAGAGAAACUCGAGAAGUGGCCUUGGAACGCUAAUAUUGUUUUAAAAAGAAGAUUACACCAAUCUAACAGGAUAGUGGAGAUCGCUAGCCCAAAGAUUAUAAAUACAAGAUACAUAUGCUAUAAUAUAUAAUAUAUGUAAUUUUGAUACACAGGAAGAAAAAAAACAGAGAGCAAAUAAAUUUGAUGCUCGAAAUUGAAGCACAGCUUGCAGGAAAUCACAAGAGUUAAAGCUGAUGGGAACUAGGUACACAUGACAGAAAUGAAAGAGGAAACAGACUUGAAGACCGUACAGCCAAAAGUGGAAGGUGGAAAUUUUGUACAGCCAUAGGCCACUGGUUCACACUAUUAAUAAUUGUAUGUCGCAAUUCAGAAAUAAGAUUUGUUUUUACUGCUUACCAUACAUUAUCCCAUUGUACCAUGCUUAAACCAUAUUUAAUUAUGAAGUGCAUAAUAGACAUUAGUUCUCCAGCCAAAACCAGUACAAUAAUUACUUCAAAAAUAAUAUAACAAAAUAAAGAAAAUAGUUAAAUCACCAUAGGAACCAAAUUUAUUGUAGUUAAAAAACAUAUAGAUUCACUGCAAUUCACAAACAACAGCCAACAGAUAAAGAUCUGACAGCUAAUAUUCAAAGUUCAUCGUACUACUUGGAAUCAAAUUUACUAAAGCCAAGCAUAAGUCAUCGGAUCUUCACCCAAUAACUCAAAUUGAAGCAAAAUCUUUACUAAAUUCACUAUUAAAUUUUUAAUGCAGGAAAAACAGGUCUAUCAUCAUAUUCAUAAUUCAUCUACAACUCUUUAAAACAGAACCAGUUAAAUUCGAUUAAAGUAAAAUAAGAACUACUAUUACAACUACUACUUCCAUAUGAAUAUAUGAUACAUGUAUGUAGUAAAACAAAAAAUAUAUAUCAAAUUAUUACAUACCAGCAUAUAUACAAAAAAUAAUAAUUAGAUUACAUAAGAGCGAAAAGAAACUAACUUCUUGACGGUUUCGGUAGUAGGUUUAGCAGAAUCAAGGGCCUUUUCAUCCUCCUCUUCAUAGUCGAUGAGCUCUUCCUCGUAAACCUCAGUUUCUUUCAAUUCACCCAUUUUCUUUGUUUUCUGCAAGUUAAGGUUAAGGUUAGGGUUUUCAGUUUCAAUAAGUGAGAAUUGAAGAGAAGAGAGUGUAGAAUUCAUUGAAUACAUAGAGAUAUAGAGAAAGAGAAAGUAGAAGCUAACCUUUGAAAGCGCAAAGAACCAGCGGCUUCUUCUUCUCGGAAAUGAAAACCCUAGAUCUGAUUUCUGGGUUUUAGGAAAUGAAAUGGAGCAACAGAGAAUGAAGCUGUGAGCGGAAACAAAUAGUGCGUGCGAUUUGUUUGAUGGACGGAAAUGCCCUUUAAAUUUUACUUGACGUGAGCAUGCACGACAUUCUUAAAAUUGCUCACAAGGGUGGUUUCUUUUUUUCUUAACACACAACCUUGGAAUUUUUAUUUUUUUAAUUUAGCAAAAUUUCAUUGUAAGUACUAUGUUUUAGAUUUUUUUUUUAAAACUAAAGUACAUUUUUAGAUGAUUUAUGAAGUUUUAGAGAUAUUUUUUCUAAGUAGAAGUUUAUGAUUAGUCCUCCCUUAAAAAAAUAUAAUAUAAUCUAUUAUCAAUCCUUAAAAAUUUCAUUGUCUGUUUUGCUCUUUCUUUUAUUUCUAUUUACACUAUAAUUUGGAUAAAUUAAUAAUUAACAAACAUCAUAAUUAAAAUUUAAUCAAACAUCUCUUUGUAUGUCAGAUAUCAAAUAAUCAUUGAUUACCUCAAAUAAAAGAAUUUUUUCAUCAUUCCUCACUUUUCUCUUUUUCGUUUUCUCUCUCCCAUUUUCUCUGUUUUCUUUCCAUAAACCCUAAUCCCCCGUCUCUCGUGUUUUCUAUCAUCUCUUUUUUCCCUCAACCUUACAACACUGUCGUCCCCAUUUCUCCCUCGUCUAUGUUUCUCCUUCCCCUGCUACUCUCGAUAGGUAUGUUUUUCCCUAUUUUAUUAUUCUUUCAUUCAUGUCUUCUUCAAUCUCUAUUGCAGUCAAAUUUCGUCAUGUUUCGGUUUCCAAAUCUUUGUUUCUAUGUUCCUCUAUUUUUCUACAUUUCUCUUCUAAAACAUGUUUUCAUUUUCAACGCCUUUUCUGUAUAUAGUUUCUGCAACUGGAUAAUGAUCGUGUUUUUCAAUGUUGAUCUCCGACGUCGAGUAUAUGAAGAUUCACAAAAGUAUUGUUGUGUGAAAACGUGUAUUAUGGCUCUAAGCAAUUCAGACGAAGUACACCACAGAUCUGUUGAAGACACCAAAAACACAGAUGAUACGAUGGAUAAGGAAAAUAGAUCUUGUGAAAAAUAGGGUUUUAUAUUCAAGGUGAGUGUCUGUUUCCUUUGUAUUCCUAAUUUUAAAGGUUUUAUGUGUUUUUCAUCAUUUGCAUUAAUUUGCUUAUGUGGUUUUCAUAGUGAUUGUCCAUUAAAAUAUGUUUUUUUAUAUGUGUUUUUCAUCUAAUUAUUUGUUGGAGCCUACACAUUUUGUUUUAGAAGGGACUCAAUUGUAUAAUUAAUAAAUUUGAUAUUAGUUGUGUAUAGAUCCUUACCAAAUUUGGAACUGGUGCGGAAAGUUCUUUAUUGUUGAUUUUACUAGUAAAAUAUUGAUCAGUGCAUUUUUAUGCACUUUCUUCUACUAUUGUACUUAGACAAAUAUAUAGUUUAUUCUAUUAUUUUUACUAUUUUAGUGUGUUUUUAUAUUUAAGUCUAUUUUUGGCUUUAUUUUAUUUUCGGACUUUAUUUUUAGCAUAAAUAGUUAUUUGAUAUCUUAUCACUAUGAAGAUCAUAAUUUGAGCUACGGGAAUCGGAUUAACGCGUUCUAAUAGGCGUUGGAAAUCUGAGUUACUUAGGCAAAUCUAUAAUUUAUUCUAUUAUUUUUACUAUUUUAGUGUGUUUUUAUAUUUAAGUUUAUUUUUGGUUUUAUUUUAUUUUCAGCAUAAAUAGUUAUUUGAUAUCUUAUCACUGUGAAGAUCAUAAUUUGAGCUACGAGAAUCGGAUUAACGCAUUCUAGUAGGUGUUGGAAAUCUAAGAGGUUAAGCUAAAAGUUUCAUGUUUAAGUCAGAAGUUGAUUCAAAGUGAAGAAGGGUUGAAUAAUUCGUUUUAGUUCCAGACUUAAGAAAAUACUUAGUAUUUGGGGCGGUUUUGUAUUUUUUUCGGGUCGGUUGCUAUUAGGCUCAAAUUCCCUUGCUCUAUUUAAACAACUUAGUAGUUUUAGGAUUGAGAGAUUUAGUAGAUAGUUUAUUUGUUGUAUUCGAAUUCAACUUUGAGGUUUUUAUUAAUUUCAGUUUAAUUUCGAUUUCUUUUCAAUUCUUCCUAUAAACUUGUUUGCUUAAUUCGAUUACUUUCGUUUGCUUAAUUCAAUUGUUUCUUAUAGGAUAAAGUUGAUUAAAUUUGAUUGUAUGUAUGAUCCUUAACUAUAAUCACGUUAGCGUACCUUUUUCGUUAUCGUAUUUGAUUAAGUUGUGUUUGUUUAAUUUGUGUCUGCUUAAAU